UGCCUAUACCUGAGUGCAUUAGUGAUUCC
rnacentral:piRNA from 1 species